rnacentral:rRNA from 1 species
CAGCAGCCGCGGUAAUACGAAGGGGGCUAGCGUUGCUCGGAAUUACUGGGCGUAAAGGGCGCGUAGGCGGACAGUUAAGUUGGGGGUGAAAGCCCGGGGCUCAACCUCGGAAUUGCCUUCAAUACUGGCUGUCUUGAGUAUGAGAGAGGUGUGUGGAACUCCGAGUGUAGAGGUGAAAUUCGUAGAUAUUCGGAAGAACACCAGUGGCGAAGGCGACACACUGGCUCAUUACUGACGCUGAGGCGCGAAAGCGUGGGGAGCAAACAGGAUUAGAUACCCCAGUAGUCCCUGUCUCUUAUAC